CCUGCGCCGAGCUCUUCUCAAGGACCAGAACCGCUUUACCAUGUUCCUCCAGGCGGACGGUGUUGGCCUCGACAUCCUGCAGUUACAUUCAGGAAGUGGCAGUUGUCCUCUCUUAGGAUGAUGGUGGCAGAACGAGGGGCGUCGUUCACCAAGGCCAACUGCCCAAAGUCAUCUCCCUCAUGGAGUGUGGUCACCAAGCCCUGUGUGACACACAUACACAAGAUCAUCUUUCCUUAAGAGGAACAGUAUGAAUAACCUUCAAACAAUACUGUUCCUGCCUUGGCAUGGCUUUCAAAAACCAGCACUGCUGCCAGCUCCUUCCGAACCUACGGGAAAGAGUGAAGGAUAAAAGAAACGAGGGAUGAAUGAAGGGUUUUGCCACAAACAAACUUGACGGGUGUCAGCGAGUGUUGACUCACAGAUG